UAGCCGUAAACGAUACUCGCUAGGUGUCGGCCACGGUGCGACCGUUGUCGGUGCCGUAGGGAAGCCGUGAAGCGAGCCACCUGGGAAGUACGGCCGCAAGGCUGAAACUUAAAGGAAUUGGCGGGGGAGCACAACAACGGGUGGAGCUUGGGGUUUAAUUGGAUUCAACGCCGGAAAUCUUACCGGGACCGACAGCAACAUGAAGGCCAAGCUGAAGACUUUGCCGGAUUAGCUGAGAGGAGGUGCAUGGCGUAGUCGUGU
rnacentral:rRNA from 1 species